AGCGGCGGACUGGUGAGUAKYGCGUGGGUGACCUACCUUGAGGAUGGGGAUAGCUGUUAGAAAUAGCAGGUAAUACCGAAUAAGUUCACAAUAUUAUGAUUAUGUGAAGAAAGGAGCUACGGCUCCGCCUUGAGAUGGGCCCGCGUCCCAUUAGCUAGUUGGUGAGGUAAAGGCCCACCAAGGCGAAGAUGGGUAGCCGGCCUGAGAGGGUGAACGGCCACACUGGGACUGAGAUACGGCCCAGACUCCUACGGGAGGCAGCAGCUAAGAAUAUUCCACAAUGGACGAAAGUCUGAUGGAGCGACGCCGCGUGGAUGAGGAAGGCCGAAAGGUUGUAAAAUCCUUUUGCGGAUGAAGAAUAAGUGGUGGAGGGAAUGCCAUCAUGAUGACGUUAGUCCGCGAAUAAGCCCCGGCUAAUUACGUGCCAGCAGCCGCGGUAACACGUAAGGGGCGAGCGUUGUUCGGAAUUAUUGGGCGUAAAGGGCGCGUAGGCGGUCGCGUAAGUCUGAUGUGAAAACCCCGGGCUCAACCCGGGAACUGCAUUGGAAACUGUGCGACUUGAGUCACGGAGGGGAAAUCGGAAUUCCUGGUGUAGGGGUGAAAUCUGUAGAUAUCAGGAAGAACACCGGUGGCGAAGGCGGAUUUCCAGCCGAUGACUGACGCUGAGGCGCGAAAGUGCGGGGAGCAAACAGGAUUAGAUACCCUGGUAGUCCGCACUAUAAACGAUGCACACUAGGUGUCGGGACGAGCGUCUCGGCGCCGGAGCGAACGCGAUAAGUGUGCCGCCUGGGGAGUAUGCCCGCAAGGG
rnacentral:rRNA from 1 species